GAUGAACGCUGGCGGCGUGCCUAAUACAUGCAAGUCGAGCGAACAGACGAGGAGCUUGCUCCUCUGACGUUAGCGGCGGACGGGUGAGUAACACGUGGAUAACCUACCUAUAAGACUGGGAUAACUUCGGGAAACCGGAGCUAAUACCGGAUAAUAUAUUGAACCGCAUGGUUCAAUAGUGAAAGACGGUUUUGCUGUCACUUAUAGAUGGAUCCGCGCCGCAUUAGCUAGUUGGUAAGGUAACGGCUUACCAAGGCUACGAUGCGUAGCCGACCUGAGAGGGUGAUCGGCCACACUGGAACUGAGACACGGUCCAGACUCCUACGGGAGGCAGCAGUAGGGAAUCUUCCGCAAUGGGCGAAAGCUUGACGGAGCAACGCCGCGUGAGUGAUGAAGGUCUUCGGAUCGUAAAACUCUGUUAUUAGGGAAGAACAAAUGUGUAAGUAACUAUGCACGUCUUGACGGUACCUAAUCAGAAAGCCACGGCUAACUACGUG
rnacentral:rRNA from 1 species